rnacentral:rRNA from 1 species
GGCGGUAUUUUAGUCUAUUCAGAGGAAUCUGUCCUAUAAUUGAUAAUCCACGAUUUAAUUUACUUUUAGAAAAAAUUUAUAUAUCGUCGUAGUUUGAAUAUUUUAAAAGAAUUUUAAUGUUCAAAAUUUUUUUAUGAAAUUAAAUCAGAUCAAGGUGUAGUUUAUAUAAAAGAAGAGAUGGAUUACAUUAAAUUUAUUUAAAGAUUAAUUUUUGUAAAAUUUUAUGAAUAUGGAUUUGAUAGUAAUUUUUUUAAAAUUUUAAAGAUGAUUUAAGCUCUAAAAUAUGU